GCUGGGAUGGCUCAGUCAGUAGAGCAUGAAACUCUUAAUAUCAGGUUCAUGGGUUCAAGACUCAAAUUGGGCG